rnacentral:rRNA from 1 species
UACGUAGGGGGCAAGCGUUGUCCGGAUUUAUUGGGCGUAAAGAGCUCGUAGGCGGUUCCGUAAGUCGUGAAGUCAAAUCUCUGGGCUCAACCCAGAAUCGCUUCCGAUACUGCGGUGACUGGAGUCCGGUAGGGGAGUGUGGAAUUCCUGGUGGUAGCGGUGAAAUGCGCAGAUAUCAGGAGGAACACCAAUUGCGAAGGCAGCUCGCUGGGACGUUACUGACGCUGAGACGCGAAAGCGUGGGGAGCAAACAGG